UAUGUCAGCGGCAGACGGGUGAGUAACGCGUGGGAACGUACCUUUUGGUUCGGAACAACACAGGGAAACUUGUGCUAAUACCGGAUAAGCCCUUACGGGGAAAGAUUUAUCGCCGAAAGAUCGGCCCGCGUCUGAUUAGCUAGUUGGUGAGGUAAUGGCUCACCAAGGCGACGAUCAGUAGCUGGUCUGAGAGGAUGAUCAGCCACAUUGGGACUGAGACACGGCCCAAACUCCUACGGGAGGCAGCAGUGGGGAAUAUUGGACAAUGGGCGCAAGCCUGAUCCAGCCAUGCCGCGUGAGUGAUGAAGGCCCUAGGGUUGUAAAGCUCUUUUGUGCGGGAAGAUAAUGACGGUACCGCAAGAAUAAGCCCCGGCUAACUUCGUGCCAGCAGCCGCGGUAAUACGAAGGGGGCUAGCGUUGCUCGGAAUCACUGGGCGUAAAGGGUGCGUAGGCGGGUCUUUAAGUCAGGGGUGAAAUCCUGGAGCUCAACUCCAGAACUGCCUUUGAUACUGAAGAUCUUGAGUUCGGGAGAGGUGAGUGGAACUGCGAGUGUAGAGGUGAAAUUCGUAGAUAUUCGCAAGAACACCAGUGGCGAAGGCGGCU
rnacentral:rRNA from 1 species